CAGCUCCCAAGUAGCUUGGGAUUACAGCAACUUACAGUAGAAACCCCUGCCUGAAAUGGACAACUUCUCUGACUGAUCUAUUUCUAGGACUUCUUUAGAAAUUCAUGGUUCUCUCAGUUAUAUUUCUGUGAAUCCACUUUUUUUUGGAACCAACAAGGACCCUGCCUGUAUCAGUAAGGAAUUUAUUUGGCUACAAAUAGGAGAAAACGAGAACCACAAUGAUUGACACUGAUUUGCAUGACCCUGGGGCUGGCACAGCUGCUCAUCAGGCAUCCAGGCUGCUUCUUUCAUUUUACUCUACCAUCCUCAGCGCAGGCCUUUAGUCCUCAUGGUCACAAGAUGGCUGCUGUACUUCCUGGUCUCACAUCCAUGUUCCAGGCAGGAGGAGGGAGGAAGGACAAAAGGCAUGGCAGUCCCCCAACUCCUUUUUUAAAAAUCAGGAAAACAAGCUUUGCCAGAAGCGUCACUAGGCUGAACUUGACUAUUUCUCACAGUCCGUGUGGUGUCACACGCGCACCUCUAGCUAAAAGAUGCCUGUGGAAAAGAGGGUUGUGUGAGUGAAGAUGAGAAGCCAACAGUGUCUGCUCUGCUGAAGAAAUAGAACAAUGGAGUUCUCAGGAGUGCAUUGCGUGUGUGAUGGCAUUUGUAGUGCAAUCAGAGGGAGGAGGGGAUGUCAUUCCUAUUCUUGACAGGAAAUCACUACACAGAUUUGCCUCACCUGAAAAUGUGACAGAAGCCAGUCAGCAACGUCGUGACAGAGCCUGGACUUCUUCGUGCUUGUCUCCACAUAUCCAGCCACCUUGAGGAAGAGGAUGAUCCCACAGGCGCUGGCCAUGUUACUAGCCACUUUCUAACUUCCAAAUAAGACGGGAAAGAACAUUCCAGACCAGGGGAGCCCACCCCCAACUCUUGGAGGAGAGCUUCAAUUUUUCCCAGAGACUCUGAAAUGACUCCAUCAAGGAGUUGAGUAGCUCACAAGGGACCAAAGCUGCUACGCCAGAAGAUGGAGACAGUCUCAACCAGAUGCUCAUGCACUGAGGGCAGGACGCAAGCCCUGGGCUGAGGCCCAGUGAGGAUCUCACAUUAAGGGGAGGGAGGAGGAGGGCUGGGUCAGG
rnacentral:lncRNA from 1 species